rnacentral:rRNA from 1 species
CCUACGGGUGGCUGCAGUGGGGAAUAUUGGGCAAUGGGCGCAAGCCUGACCCAGCAACGCCGCGUGAGGGAAGAAGGCUUUCGGGUUGUAAACCUCUGUCCUUGGUGACGAAAAAAAUGACGGUAGCCAAGGAGGAAGCCCCGGCUAACUACGGGCCAGCAGCCGCGGUAAUACGUAGGGGGCGAGCGUUGGCCGGAAGUACUGGGCGUAAAGGGUGCGUAGGUGGCCUUUUAAGUUGGAUGUGAAAUACCCUGGCUUAACUUGUGGGGUGCAUCUAAUACUGGUGGGCUAGAGUGCAGGAGAGGAAAGCGUAAUUCCUAGUGUAGCGGUGAAAUGCGUAGAUAUUAGGAGGAACACCAGUGGCGAAGGCGGCUUUCUGGACUGUAACUGACACUGAGGCACGAAAGCGUGGGGAGCAAACAGGAUUAGAUACCCCUGUAGUC